AUUGAACGCUGGCGGCAUGCUUUACACAUGCAAGUCGAACGGUAACAGGCCUUCGGGUGCUGACGAGUGGCGAACGGGUGAGUAAUGCAUCGGAACGUACCCAGAGGUGGGGGAUAACGCAGCGAAAGCUGUGCUAAUACCGCAUGUGAUCUGAGGAUGAAAGCGGGGGACCGAGCAGCAAUGUUUGGCCUCGCGCCUUUGGAGCGGCCGAUGUCGGAUUAGCUAGUUGGUGGGGUAAAGGCCUACCAAGGCGACGAUCCGUAGCUGGUCUGAGAGGACGAACCGGCACACUGGGACUGGGACAAGGCCCAGACUCCUACGGGAGGCAGCAGUGGGGAAUUUUGGACAAUGGGCGCAAGCCUGAUCCAGCAAUGCCGCGUGCGGGAAGAAGGCCUUCGGGUUGUAAACCGCUUUUGGCAGGAACGAAACGGUGUCCGCUAAUACCGGGCGCUAAUGACGGUACCUGCAGAAUAAGCACCGGCUAACUACGUG
rnacentral:rRNA from 1 species